AUUGAACGCUGGCGGCAGGCCUAACACAUGCAAGUCGAGCGGAGCGGCGGACGGGUGAGUAAUGCCUAGGAAUCUGCCUGGUAGUGGGGGAUAACGUCCGGAAACGGGCGCUAAUACCGCAUACUAUCAGAUGAGCCUAGGUCGGAUUAGCUAGUGGGUGGGGUAAAGGCCUACCAAGGCGACGAUCCGUAUCUGGUCUGCGAGGAUGAUCAGUCCCAAUGGAACUGGUACACGGUCCAGACUCCUACGGGAGGCAGCAGGGGGGAAUAUUGGACAAUGGGCGAAGGCCUGAUCCAGCCAUGCCGCGGGUGUGAAGAAGGUCUUCGGAUUGUAAAGCACUUUAAGUUGGGAGGCGUUACCAGCAGAAUAAGCACCGGCUAACUUCGUGCCAGCCGCCGCGGUAAUAC
rnacentral:rRNA from 1 species